UGCUCCGCCCCACCGCAUGGUGGGGUGGGAAAUGCUUUUUGCGGCAUGGGAUGGGGUCGCGUCCUAUCAGCUUGUUGGCGGGGUGAUGGCCCACCAAGGCGUUGACGGGUAGCCGACCUGAGAGGGUGACCGGCCACAUUGGGACUGAGAUACGGCCCAGACUCCUACGGGAGGCAGCAGUGGGGAAUAUUGCACAAUGGGCGCAAGCCUGAUGCAGCGACGCCGCGUGAGGGAUGGAGGCCUUCGGGUUGUAAACCUCUUUUAUCGGGGAGCAAGCGAGAGUGAGUUUACCCGUUGAAUAAGCACCGGCUAACUACGUGCCAGCAGCCGCGGUAAUACGUAGGGUGCAAGCGUUAUCCGGAAUUAUUGGGCGUAAAGGGCUCGUAGGCGGUUCGUCGCGUCCGGUGUGAAAGUCCAUCGCUUAACGGUGGAUCUGCGCCGGGUACGGGCGGGCUGGAGUGCGGUAGGGGAGACUGGAAUUCCCGGUGUAACGGUGGAAUGUGUAGAUAUCGGGAAGAACACCAAUGGCGAAGGCAGGUCUCUGGGCCGUUACUGACGCUGAGGAGCGAAAGCGUGGGGAGCGAACAGGAUUAGAUACCCUGGUAGUCCACGCCGUAAACGGUGGAUGCUGGAUGUGGGGACCAUUCCUCGGUCUCCGUGUCGGAGCCAACGCGUUAAGCAUCCCGCCUGGGGAGUACGGCCGCAAGGCUAAAACUCAAAGAAAUUGACGGGGGCCCGCACAAGCGGCGGAGCAUGCGGAUUAAUUCGAUGCAACGCGAAGAACCUUACCUGGGCUUGACAUGUUCCCGACAGCCCCAGAGAUGGGGCCUCCCUUCGGGGCGGGUUCACAGGUGGUGCAUGGUCGUCGUCAGCUCGUGUCGUGAGAUGUUGGGUUAAGUCCCGCAACGAGCGCAACCCUCGCCCUGUGUUGCCAGCACGUCAUGGUGGGAACUCACGGGGGACCGCCGGGGUCAACUCGGAGGAAGGUGGGGAUGACGUCAGAUCAUCAUGCCCCUUACGUCCAGGGCUUCACGCAUGCUACAAUGGCCGGUACAACGGGAUGCGACACGGCGACGUGGAGCGGAUCCCUGAAAACCGGUCUCAGUUCGGAUUGGAGUCUGCAACCCGACUCCAUGAAGGCGGAGUCGCUAGUAAUCGCGGAUCAGCAACGC
rnacentral:rRNA from 1 species